rnacentral:rRNA from 1 species
UACGUAGGCAGCGAGCGUUGUUCGGAGUUACUGGGCGUAAAGCGUGCGUAGGCGGUGUCUUAAGUUUGUUGUGAAAUCUCCCGGCUUAACCGGGAGGGUGCGGCGAAUACUGAGAUGCUGGAGUGCCGGAGAGGUAAGCGGAAUUCCUGGUGUAGCGGUGAAACGCGUAGAUAUCAGGAGGAACACCUGCGGUGUAGACGGCUUACUGGACGGUAACUGACGCUGAGGCACGAAAGCGUGGGUAGCAAACAGG